rnacentral:rRNA from 1 species
UGGGGAAUAUUGCACAAUGGGCGCAAGCCUGAUGCAGCCAUGCCGCGUGUGUGAAGAAGGCCUUCGGGUUGUAAAGCACUUUCAGCGAGGAGGAAGGUGGUGAACUUAAUACGUUCAUCAAUUGACGUUACUCGCAGAAGAAGCACCGGCUAACUCCGUGCCAGCAGCCGCGGUAAUACGGAGGGUGCAAGCGUUAAUCGGAAUUACUGGGCGUAAAGCGCACGCAGGCGGUUUGUUAAGUCAGAUGUGAAAUCCCCGGGCUCAACCUGGGAACUGCAUUUGAAACUGGCAAGCUAGAGUCUCGUAGAGGGGGGUAGAAUUCCAGGUGUAGCGGUGAAAUGCGUAGAGAUCUGGAGGAAUACCGGUGGCGAAGGCGGCCCCCUGGACGAAGACUGACGCUCAGGUGGCGAAAAGCGUGGGGAGCAAACAGGAUUAGAUACCCCUGGUAGUACCACGCUGUAAACGAUGUCGAUUUUGGAGGUUGUGCCCUUGAGGCGUGGCUUCCGGAGCUAACGCGUUAAA